GCAGCCGCGGUAAUUCCAGCUCCAAUAGCGUAUAUUAAAGUUGUUGCAGUUAAAAAGCUCGUAGUUGAAUUUCGGGGUUAGUAGGUUGGUCAUGCCUCUGGUAUGUACUGGUCUCACUGAUUCCUCCUUCCUGAUGAACCUUAAUGCCAUUAAUUUGGUGUUUUGGGGAAUUUGGACUGUUACUUUGAAAAAAUUAGAGUGUUUAAAGCAAGCUAACGCUUGAAUACAUUAGCAUGGAAUAAUGAAAUAGGACGUUCGAUCCUAUUUUGUUGGUUUCUAGGAUUGACGUAAUGAUUAAUAGGGAUAGUUGGGGGCAUUAGUAUUCAAUUGUCAGAGGUGAAAUUCUUGGAUUUAUUGAAGACUAACUACUGCGAAAGCAUUUGCCAAGGAUGUUUUCAUUAAUCAAGAACGAAAGUUAGGGGAUCGAAGACGAUCAGAUACCGUCGUAGUCUUAACCAUAAACUAUGCCGACUAGGGAUCGGAUGAUGUUAAUUUUUUAAUGACUCAUUCGGCGCCUUACG
rnacentral:rRNA from 1 species